UGGGGAAUUUUUGGACAAUGGGCGAAAGCCUGAUCCAGCAAUGCCGCGUGUGUGAAGAAGGCCUUCGGGUUGUAAAGCACUUUUGUCCGGAAAGAAAUCCUUGGCUCUAAUACAGUCGGGGGGAUGACGGUACCGGAAGAAUAAGCACCGGCUAACUACGUGCCAGCAGCCGCGGUAAUACGUAGGGUGCAAGCGUUAAUCGGAAUUACUGGGCGUAAAGCGUGCGCAGGCGGUUUGCUAAGACCGAUGUGAAAUCCCCGGGCUCAACCUGGGAACUGCAUUGGUGACUGGCAGGCUAGAGUAUGGCAGAGGGGGGUAGAAUUCCACGUGUAGCAGUGAAAUGCGUAGAGAUGUGGAGGAAUACCGAUGGCGAAGGCAGCCCCCUGGGCCAAUACUGACGCUCAUGCACGAAAGCGUGGGGGAGCAAAACAGGAUUAGAUACCCCUGGUAGUCCCACGCCCUAAACGAUGUCAACUAGUUGUUGGGGAUUCAUUUCCUUAGUAACGUAGCUAACGCGUGAAGUUGACCGCCUGGGGAGUACGGUCGCAAGAUUAAAACUCAAAGGAAUUGACGGGGUCAUAGCUGUUUCCU
rnacentral:rRNA from 1 species